GACGAACGCUGGCGGCGUGCUUAACACAUGCAAGUCGAACGGAAAGGCCUUUUCGGAGGUACUCGAGUGGCGCACGGGUGAGUAACACGUGGGUGAUCUGCCCUGCACUCUGGGAUAAGCCUGGGAAACUGGGUCUAAUACCGGAUAGGACCGCACUUUAGUGUGUGUGGUGGAAAGUUUUUUCGGUGUAGGAUGAGCCCGCGGCCUAUCAGCUUGUUGGUGGGGUAAUGGCCUACCAAGGCGGCGACGGGUAGCCGGACUGAGAGGUUGGUCGGCCACAUUGGGACUGAGAUACGGCCCAGACUCCUACGGGAGGCAGCAGUGGGGAAUAUUGCACAAUGGGCGCAAGCCUGAUGCAGCGACGCCGCGUGGGGGAUGACGGCCUUCGGGUUGUAAACUCCUUUCGCCAGGGACGAAGCGUUUUGUGACGGUACCUGGAGAAGAAGCACCGGCUAACUACGUGC
rnacentral:rRNA from 1 species